rnacentral:lncRNA from 1 species
UUCAUUUGAAUAAAAUUUAUCAUAAGAUUUAGCAACUUGUUUGUGCAUUCAUUUUGGAGCAUUUGUUUUCAUUGUAAUGUAUGACUUUGAGCAAAGUUCAAAAUGGUUUCAAACUGAUUUGAAAAUGGUUUGGAAAUAAAAGAAAAAAACAAACAAAAGAAAAAAGAAAAACAUCCCCCUCUGCUUUGCGGGCAGAAGGCCAGUCCCCCUCCUCUCUCUAUUCGGCCUGAAGACCCCCAAACCCACCCCUCUCUCUAUCGGGCCGCAAGCAGGCCGGCCCAAGCCGCGAAUCCUUUUCUCAGCAGCGGCCCAAGCACCUGCAGUAGCCCACGAGCGCUCCUCUCCCUUCCCCUCUCCUUUCUUUCCCCGACGCGUGGACCCUGCGCCCAGAGUCGCUGACGCCUCGGGCCCGCUCGUCAGUCGCCCUUCUCUUCUUCAACCCCGAGUCGGGUGCGGUCUGGACUGUGUCCCGGCCGAUCCACGGAAUCUGCCCUGCAAUCUUCUCACGAUUCGGCUUGUCCCUCACAUCUAUGCUCCUAUAAAGCUUCAAGUGCCUUUCCCCGAUCUCCUUUUCCCAUCCCUGUGGCGUCGGUUUACCCUAGCCCAGCUUGCAAGCACCGCCGCCACUGCAUAGAUUGACGCCGAACACGGAUCAACGCUUCCUCCACGAUUGUGCCCCCGUAAGCUUGAUGUCGGGCUUCAUAACGAACUUGCGAAGUCCCUGGACCUCUUUCCCCUUCGUUCUUCACUCCGGUUUGCUCAAUCUUUGUUGCCGAACUAUUGCAAAAGCUCGCUGCCCGCCCCAUCUCGACGCCGGACCACCCCGAGCUCCCUCUGCCCGUAAUAAUCAUCUAGGUGAGUUCGUUGACCUCCCCUCUAUCUCCCUGCGUUACUCCC